rnacentral:tRNA from 1 species
GCCUUUUUAGCUUGGUUGGUAGAACACCCGCUUAGUAAGCGGAAGGACGUCGGUUCAGCUCCGGCAGAAGGCU